CACUCCCUGCUGCAUUUGCCAGUCGAUAAAGACCUCGAGCCGAUGUUAUAUACCCAGGAGGGUUCCUACGUUGUUGUGCGCAUGUCCACUUCCGGAAAGCCUUAUACCGCGUAUAGCCCGCCACCUUGAACCAUUGGGUUCAAGGGCUUUCUCCGAUAGCGGUGCAGCGGGGCUCCG
rnacentral:other from 1 species